UAGUCCACGCCGUAAACGAUGGUCACUAGCUGUCCGGACUUAGGUCUGGGUGGCCAAGCGAAAGUGAUAAGUGACCCACCUGGGGAGUACGUUCGCAAGAAUGAAACUCAAAGGAAUUGACGGGGGCCCGCACAAGCGGUGGAGCAUGUGGUUUAAUUCGAUGAUACGCGAGGAACCUUACCAGGGCUUAAAUGCAUUAUGACAGGGGUGGAGACACCCUUUUCUUCGGACAUUUUGCAAGGUGCUGCAUGGUUGUCGUCAGCUCGUGCCGUGAGGUGUCGGGUUAAGUCCUAUAACGAGCGCAACCCCUGUUGUUAGUUGCCAGCGAGUAAUGUCGGGAACUCUAGCAAGACUGCCGGUGCAAACCGCGAGGAAGGUGGGGAUGACGUCAAAUCAUCACGGCCCUUACGCCCUGGGCCACACACGUGCUACAAUGGCAGGUACAGCAAGCAGCCACUGGGCGACCAGGAGCGAAUCUGUAAAGCCUGUCACAGUUCGGAUCGGAGU
rnacentral:rRNA from 1 species